GACAGGGGGUGCGAACGUUGCUCGGAAUUACUGGGCGUAAAGGGCUCGUAGGCGGCCAACUAAGUCAGACGUGAAAUCCCUCGGCUUAACCGGGGAACUGCGUCUGAUACUGGAUGGCUAGAGAUUGGGAGAGGGAUGCGGAAUUCCAGGUGUAGCGGUGAAAUGCGUAGAUAUCUGGAGGAACACCGGUGGCGAAGGCGGCAUCCUGGACCAACACUGACGCUGAGGAGCGAAAGCCAGGGGAGCAAACGGG
rnacentral:rRNA from 1 species